rfam:Asian citrus Psyllid, Diaphorina citri - Florida Strain, whole genome shotgun sequence.
GCCUAGUUAGCUUGGUAGGUACAGCGUCUGGCUUGUAAGCGGUAGGGCGCGGGAUCGAUUCCCACCCGGGGCG